CCAGAGACUUCGAUCCAGUUCAUCCCCAAAUCGAUCCAGACCGCAUACGCCGCGAACCCUAGCCACACCCCCACCGCCGCCGACCGCGCCCUCCACCACACCACCGCUGCCCCGCCUGCCCCAACCACUCCCCGCUGCUGCUGCAGACUCCGCCCUCCACACCCCACCGCUGCAGACUGCUGCCGCGGUCGACCCCACAUCACAGCGCCGUCGAGGACACGGACGACACCACCAGCGCCGGCCUUCCACGUCGCGGAGCCACUCCACUGGCGACCACCCCCCUUCUCCGCGAGCUUGGUCCACACCGAGCAGGCCUUCUCCAAAGCAUUGAGCGGGGCUGCCUCCUCUACGUCAUCUCCCCCGAGCAGCGGAGCGUCCUCCCUCCCGCGAGCGGCUCUGUCUCCUCAGUACCCUUCCCCUAGGCAGCCACGUCAUGUAUUUCCUUUCACCAGUGUCCUCUUCAAUAGGCUAUUUGGGUGAAAUUGGUCAAGAAUGGACAAGAGUUGGAUGGAUAAAGCUAGAAAUACACAAGCAUAUAUUGACGGGGUAAAGAAAUUCAUAGAUUUUGCUUUUACUCAUUCAGCAAGAGGGAACACUAUAUCAUGUCCGUGUAGAAAUUACCUCAUGGUGCUGGAACAUGACCACCACAGGGCAAGCUCAAGGGCGAUGUAUCUCAUAGCCAUACACAACCAUUUGGAAGUGGAGAAGUCCAUGGCAAAAGCAGUAAUGCGACCACAAGCAAGCUGAGGAGCAUGCCUCCUAUUCGUCCUCUGCAGCAGGCAGUGUUGUGUCGACUACGUCUGGAUAGCAACUCAUCUCCAUCCUCGCCCCAAGCAGUGUCGCCUCACCUCUACUUCCUCGCCUAAGCGGUACCGCCUAUGGUCUCCGCUUCACCGCCAAUGGUGUUUGUUUUUGUUUCUUGAAGUCUGAUUUACUCAGCAAGGAAGGGAUGUGAUACUGUAUAAUGUUUAUCAGGAGCAUGGUAGCCCAGUGGCAAAAGCUUCUAUGUAUGCAGUUGGAAGUGGAUAAGUGUCAGGCUCUUCCUACAGGAUGUCUACUAGUUCAGUUCUAGUCAUAAACAAAGCCACCAGCCAUCUAUGAUCAAAGGCCACAUAUUCUGCUUUAAAUUGUUUAUCAAGUUUUGAGUUGCUAACCACAUAUGCCACGUGGUUACAUGCUCUGUCUUUAGGCUUCCCAAGGGUACAUAAGUUGAUGGAGUUGUGGAAGAUCUGCAAGCUGCUGGAGGUUUGGAAGACCUACAGUUAAUUUGGUCAAGUGAUAUAUGCCUCGUUUGCUGAACCCAGAGACAUUGGCAAGUUUUCCUAUGCUUAUUUGGUGGUUGUUUUGGUACACAAGCCAUUAUGUGCUCAUUUUGGUUGUGUGACGCAUAUAAAAACAUAUGUACUGAACCUUUUGUGGCACGAGCUCUUUGUAUAUGGUCGUUUCAUACAUGUAUCUAGAAACAUGUGUAUUUGGUCUGGCAUGUGUAAUUGAAUGAAGUUUAAGGUUGAUUGAAGUGUAUGUAUGUGCAAGUUGUGUGGUC